UACAAAUUAUUAUUCAUUAAAAGGUUAUAUUCUUAUGUCUGUGACUGUAUAGUGCAGGGUAUAUGUAUGUUGAAGAGUGUAAUAUGGCUUUAUUGGUUCCUUAACUUAAUGUAUGUGAUUAAGGUACAUAAAAUUGUUUCCUUUAUUUGUUCGCAACCUUAGGACCCAAUCUGAAUGGUUUGUUUGGGAGACAAUCUGGGACAACUCCUUGAUACUUCUAUUCUGCGGCUAACAAGAACAAGGUUGUGAACGGGAUGAGAAAGCCCUGUAUGAUUACUUGCUUAACCCUAAGAAGUACAUCCCAGGGACAAAGAUGGUGUUUCCUGGUCUUAAGAAGCCUCAGGAUCAUGCUGAUCUUAUUGCAUAUCUGAAGCAAGCCACUGCAUCAGAAUAGAAUUUUCGUGACAGGAUGUAUUAUCUACUUUUUUGGGUAGGUUUACCUUCGCACAGUAUACCUAAUGCAGACAGUACACAGUAACAGUGGCAUGGGAUUAAUGGUACACCAAAGUAGUACACAUAUAUAUGUGAUAUUUUAUACACUCUACAACAGUUGAAAAGACACACUAAUGAUGGCUAUUUUCCUCACUUGUCCACACCUGCUAAAACUACAGAAUUUCUGCUGCACUUUUAUACACAGGUUUCAACAUAAAAAAAAGAGCAUUUGAGGUGCCAUUUUGAUGAAUAAUUCAUACUCC